GUUUUCUUUUUUAUUCUCUUCUGUGUCUGAAUUAUUGUUUUUUUAAUAGUGACAUACACUGCUUCAACGCAUGUUGCUCAUCUAUCUUCCUCAUCUUCUCACCGUCUCUCACAUCCGAUUACUUUCACUGCUUCAAAUCCAAUAUUUUGGACACAACCGAUCCAUCCUAUUUCUCUUAUUCCAUCCUUCAUCACAUCAAGAAACUUCCAAAAACCCACCAUCUCUCUCUAACAGCAUCGUCAAUCGAUUAGGUUUGGUACUAAAACCACCGCUCACACCUUCCACUUAUCUAUUUCUUUAUGUGUUCAUAUCUAUCUACCGAUGGUGAUCGUGCUGACCACCGAAUAGGGAAGUAGUGGUCAGUGGCGGUGGGGAUAGACGGUUGCUCAAUAUUUCAUUCCUCUAUAUACCGCUAUUUGCUCAUCCUCUAUUGAAACCUUUUUUUUCAAAAAGGAAGGAAUACGAGGAACAAUCUAAAUAACCAUCUGCUUCCAAGCUUCGAUUUGGAGAUGGAAGCUCUUACAAUGGCCCUUCACCAACCUAAAACUGUCAUCGGUGAUUCAAGUGUUUGCUGAUCGAAUAUAAAUUGUGCUAAUGAAGAAGGUUGUGACACUGUAUGGAAUGAAGUGUUUACUAUCUUCCUUUAUGGAAGAUGGAUUAAUAGCUCAACUUGGUAAUGUUGGGAGGGUAAAACCAGAAAGUGUAAUGUAUAGUUUCGGUACCCUUUUUCUUGGAAUUCUAAGUGGGAAACACACAUGUCAUCCUUCCACCACAAGGCAAGAUGAACCACAUUGAUGACCUGAUCAACUUUGUUCAGGUGUUAUGGUUCAAUCCAUUACAGGUUCUACUCGGGGAGAGAGGUUUGUUAUCUUUAUUGUUUUGUAAGUAUCUUGAUUUUGUUCUAUUUUCGGUGUUGGAUUACUUAUUACUUGAUUAUACUUCUAACUUUCUCUAAAAAGACUCAUACAUGGCGAAAAAAAAAGCUAAUGAUUUGCUUCGAGGAUCAUUUGUGUCGAUCUCAAUGCCAACAAAUUUGAGCUUGGUAAGAUUUUACUGCCUAAAAAUAUGAAUAAAAACAGUUAGAUAAAUGGUGAAUCUCAUAUGUUUGUGUGGUUUCAACAACAACGAAAUUUGUUCUGGUGCCGAACUCGGCAACUAAAAGAUGUUGACUGUAUGCACAAUCAUGGAAAUAGUGGUUUAAGCUUUAGGGAUUAAAAAAUUUUGUUUGCAUAUCAUGGAAAUUAGGGAGGCUGUGGAAGAGCUAAUUUAAACUUGUAUAGAGUUGAUUUAGGCCACCUUACAGAGCUGGUAAUUCUCUAAUUUUUCCACACAUUUGGGAAUGAGAAUAUGGAUUUAUUAAUCCACAAGACCACGAGGGUAAUAUUUUCAUAUCUACAAUCUGUUUAUGCCAUUUACUCCUUAAAUUAUGUUGUUUACAUUGUUUUAGAGUAUUCUAAUCAGAAGAAAUCAAAGAUGAUAAUGAUAAUCAUAAGAUCAACUGCCCAUUGUUGCUUCUUUGUUUCUUUGUCUUUCAGUUUGAUUUGAGGAUGCAAUAUGCACAUAAGUUUUGAUGUUUUUUUUAUUUCUUUAUAAUGCUAUAUGGGAUUUUGGUCUCUUGGGCUUUAGUGAGUAUCUGGAUAUUUAAUCUUGAAGAUGGUCUCUUACAGGAUACAAAUUUUGCAAAAUGUUUGCGGUGUACACAAGAAAAUGGUUCAUUUUUUUCAUUACUAUGUUUUUAUAUCCAAGUUUUUAUUUCUUUCAUAUCUAGGCUUUUAUUGAUGAGUAAUUUCUUUUCCAUUUAAGGAUUUAAAGAUUAGUUCCCAACAAAAGCAAAAACAGUCGGUGGAUUAUGGAAGAGACGGAUUAGAGGGUAUAAAUCCCAAUUGUUCCAAUAAAAAUACUAACUUAUUUAAUUAUUAACUAUAAUUAAUAUGUAUGAUUACCAUUAUAUCCUUAUAGUAAUAGUUAAUAAGCUUUUUGUUAAA